UACAGAGGUGGCGAGCGUUGUUCGGAAUUACUGGGCGUAAAGGGCGCGUAGGCGGCCUUCUAAGUCGGACGUGAAAGCCCCAGGCUUAACCUGGGAACUGCGUUCGAUACUGGGAGGCUUGGAUUCGGGAGAGGGAUGUGGAAUUCCAGGUGUAGCGAUGAAAUGCGUAGAUAUCUGGAGGAACACCGGUGGCGAAGGCGGCAUCCUGGACCGACAUCGACGCUGAGGCGCGAAAGCUAGGGGAGCAAACGGG
rnacentral:rRNA from 1 species